rnacentral:lncRNA from 1 species
UUUCACAAUUUACAAACAGCUGGAAUGGUUUGGCGUUUUCAAAAGCAUAUAGGCAAAGGGAGUUCUCAAGAGGAGACCGAUCAGAAAGGAUUUCUUAACUGGCACUGCUGGCAGAGACGGAGACCGCGGCUGGGGCAAGUGGUGGGGGACGGCACUGAACUUCCCUAAGGACCCCAAGGGUUCAGCCGAGGGAUCGGCACCCACUCCGCUCACAGAGGGCUCCCUCCCUACAGUAGGGAACGCACCCGAAACUCAGCCGACAAGGCGCAGGGGAGCAGGGCAAAGACAUUGCAACCAGAAGCCCAAGGCCGGCCGACACUUUCAGACCCUGGGGCAGCCCCUGGUAGGCACCCCGCCGAGCCCGCAGGAUGCGGCUCCAAGGCAGGGUUCGCCCGGGCCGGGGCCAGCGCGGACCACAGCUGUAUGGCGCCCGGCGCCCUCCGGAGCUGCAGCGGAGCACGGCCAGAAGCCGCAGACCCCGAGCGCCUCUCUGCAGCCGCCGUUCCCGCCCCCGCCCCCACCAGGGGACCCGACACCUCCGUCUCCACUCCCCCCAGCCCACGUUCCCCCAACUCUUCUCACCCUGCAGGAGCCGGUGACCGGCGAAGGUACUUCUUUCCGCGUGGAGGGACUGUGCGCGUCCCGCCUGGCUGUGGGUAGGGGUCUGGGAGCUCUGGCCGCUAACACUUCUGCUCCAGCCGCUGGGAGUCCUCUGGCUGCCGCUGCCGCCGCCGCCGCCGCCGUCUCCAGCAGCAAGUUUCCAUAAAAGUCCUGGUGUGCAGCCUGUUCCCGCAUUCCAGGCGGGCCCAGCGCCGGCUGCAGCUGUUCCAAAACACAAGGCCAGUUCCCCCAACCCCCCACCUCCGCCGUUAUCACCCGGAGUGGGGGUGGAGAGUUGAGGAGAAAAGCAGGGGAGGGGGACCGUGGCUGCCAACUUUCCGCCAGAAUUUGUCUGUCUCCCGGCCCUAGGUGCGCGAGCUGACCCCCUAACUUUGGGCCUGCCUCCACCUCCAGCCAGGCCUGGGGAAGGAAGGCUGCCUCCGCCAUGGGAAAGGAAUGAGGCUGAAAUGGGCUUCAUUACCGGGCUGAAGCUGGCUCCCCCUACCCGCAACCAGUUUGCUCUGGGGCCCACUUCUCUCAGCUACUCUACCCGUCCUAGUUUCCAGUCAAGAAGCCAAGCCACUACAUAUCUUCUACUACCCUAAGCAUUGACCUUUGGCCAAGUUUUCCUUUAUUACAAAGAGCGUGGGGCAGCAAUCCGGGAACACUUCAUCUGUCUAUUGCUCCCCUGUUCUUAGCUCCAGUCUUUAACUCUAAAAGGAGAGUUAAAAAAGAAGAAGAAGAAGAAGAAGAAGAAGAAGAAGAAGAAGAAGAAGAAGAAGAAGAAGAAGAAGAAGAAGAAGAAGAAGAAGAAGAAGAAGAAGAAGAAAGUUGAAGGCAGAGGAGGAGGAGGAGAAGAAAAGAAGGAAUAUAUUUAUAUAAGUACAAAUAUCUUUAUAUUCCACCUUUUUCUUAAUUGAAGGCAAACCAUAUCUGGUCUUUCUAAAGCUUCAUAAAGGCAUCUUUGACUAUUAGACACCCACAGACCUUUUUCAACUUGGACCGCCAGCCUGUCAAACCCAUCAGACAAUACCAUAUUAAAACCCGAAAUGCACACUCGGAGUAUUUUUGGUGGACGAGAUCUUUAAUUCUUCACUGCACUUGAAAAAAAAAUCGAAAUGACAUCCAGAUAAAGAAUAAAGGAUGGAUUCUCGCUCUGUUGCCCAGGCUGGAGUGCAAUGGCGUGAUCUCAGCUCACUGCAACCUCUGCCUCCCAGGUUCAAGCAAUUCUCCUGCCUCAGCCUCCCGAGUAGCUGGGACUACAGGCACGCAAUGCCACGCCCGGCUCAUUUUUUGUAUUUUAGUGGAGGUGGGGUUUCACUGUGUUGCCCAGGCUGGUCGCGAACUUCUGAGCUCAGGCAAUCCACCCGCCUCAGCCUCCCAAAGUGCUGGGAUUACACGCCGUGAGCCACCGCACCUGGCCCCUGGGACCAUUCUCACACAGAGUUAUUAUUAAAUAAGAAUUAGCAAAGUUCAGAAAGUCAUAUAUUUCAAGUGCUUUCUAAUUCAAAGUGCUUCUCUAUAUUCAAGUACUAUGGUAUCAUUUCAAACAUAGCAAAUUAUAAAAGUUCUGUAAUUUCCUAAAUAUAAAUGUACUUUGUGAAAGGCUUCUGUGACACACAUAAAAGACAUAUUUGAUGUACCAGUUGCUUUGCUGUGGCUUUUAAGUAAAGAAUAAAAAGUGUCAUAGAAGGA